rnacentral:rRNA from 1 species
GACGAACGCUGGCGGCGUGCUUAACACAUGCAAGUCGAACGGAAAGGCCCUGCUUUUGUGGGGUGCUCGAGUGGCGAACGGGUGAGUAACACGUGAGUAACCUGCCCUUGACUUUGGGAUAACUUCAGGAAACUGGGGCUAAUACCGGAUAGGAGCUCCUGCUGCAUGGUGGGGGUUGGAAAGUUUCGGCGGUUGGGGAUGGACUCGCGGCUUAUCAGCUUGUUGGUGGGGUAGUGGCUUACCAAGGCUUUGACGGGUAGCCGGCCUGAGAGGGUGACCGGCCACAUUGGGACUGAGAUACGGCCCAGAAUCCUACGGGAGGCAGCAGUGGGGAAUAUUGCACAAUGGGCGGAAGCCUGAUGCAGCAACGCCGCGUGCGGGAUGACGGCCUUCGGGUUGUAAACCGCUUUCGAAUGUGACGAAGCGUGAGUGACGGUAAUGGGUAAAGAAGCACCGGCUAACUACGUG